rnacentral:rRNA from 1 species
AUGUUACUAGACCAAGGCGAACUUAUGAACUAUGAAGAAGCUAUGAUGUGCCCAGAUUCCGACAGAUGGCUUGAGGCCAUGAAAUUUGAGAUAAGAUCCAUGUAUGAGAACAAAGUAUGGACUUUGGUGGACUUGCCUGAUGAUCAGCAAGCCAUAGAGAAUAAAUGGAUCUUCAAGAAGAAGACUAAUGUUGAUGGUAAUGUUACUGUCUACAAAGCUAGACUUGUCGCAAAAGGUUUUCGACAAGUUCAAGGGGUUGACUACGAUGAGACUUUCUCACCCGUAGUGAUGCUUAAGUCCGUCCGAAUCAUGUUAGCAAUUGCCGCAUUUUAUGAUUAUGAAAUCUGGCAAAUGGACGUCAAAACUGCAUUCCUUAAUGGAUUUCUCAAAGAAGAGUUGUAUAUGAUGCAACCAGAAGGUUUUGUCGAUCCUAAAGGUGCUAACAAAGUGUGCAAACUCCAGCGAUCCAUCUAUGGACUAGUGCAAGCAUCUCAGAGUUGGAAUAUACGCUUUGAUGAGGUGAUCAAAGCAUAUGGUUUUAUACAGACUUUCGGUGAAGCAUGUAUUAACAAGAAAGUGAGUGGGAACUCUGUAGCACUUCUGAUAUUAUAUGUAGAUGACAUAUUGUUGGUCGGAAAUGAUAUAGAAUUUCUGGAUAGCAUAAAAGAAUACUUGAAUAAGAGUUUUUCAAUGAAAGACCUCGGUGAAGCUGCUUAUAUAUCGGGCAUCAAGAUCUAUAGAGAUAGAUCAAGACGCUUAAUAGGACUUUCACAAAGCACAUACCUUGACAAAGUUUUGAAGAAGUUCAAAAUGCAUCAGUCAAAGAAAGGGUUCUUUCCUAUGUUACAAGGUGUGAAGUUGAGUCAGACCCAAAGCCCGACCACUGCAGAAGAUAGAGAGAAAAUGAAAGUCAUUCCCUAUGCCUCAGCCAUAGGUUCUAUCAUGUAUGCUAUGUUGUGUACCAGACCUGAUGUGUGCCUUGCCAUAAGUCUGGCAGUGAGGUACCAAAGUAAUCCAGGAGUGAAUCAGUGGACUGCGGUCAAGGAGAUCCCGAAGUACCUGAAAAGGACCAAGGAUAUGUUUCUCAUUUAUGGAGGUGACAAAGAGCUCAUUGUAAAUGGUUACGUCAAUGCUAGCUCUAACACUGAUCCGGAUGACUCUAAGUCACAAACCGGAUAUGUAUUUAUAUUGAAUGGUGGAGCUGUCAGUUGGUGCAGUUCCAAACAGAGCAUCAUGGCGGGAUCUACGUGUAAAACAGGGUACAUAGCUGCUUCGGAAGGAGCAAAUGAAGGAAUUUGGAUGAAGAAGUUCAUAUCCGAUCUGGGUGUAAUACCUAGUGCAUCGGGUCCAAUGAAAAAAAAUUAUGAGAACACUGGAGCAAUUGCCUUGGCGAAGGAAUCCAGGUUUCACAAGAGAACCAAACACAUCAAGAAACGCUUCAACUCCAUUCGUGAACAAGUUAAGGAUGGAGACAUAGAAAUUUGCAAGAUACAUACGGAUCUAAAUGUAGCAGACCCAUUGACUAAACCUCUUCCACGAGCAAAACAUGAUCAACACCAAGACUCCAAGGGUGUUAGAUUCAUUACAAUGUAA